rnacentral:antisense_RNA from 1 species
UGCCCAGUAAUCCUGCCCACUUGGGUAUCCUUUAUUUGGCAUAUGUUGAGUCAUCAGGCAUGAGCAACCAGACAGUGGACAGUGAACCCAGGAAGUAGGGUCUCUCAGAGGUAUGAGGAAAAGCCGAGCGCGCCCCCGCGCCCCCCCUCUCUCUGAGGCCAGCACCCUCUCUGAUUAGAUCCAUUCAAGGAUGACAUCUCUUCCUUUCUGCAGGCCGCUGCUCUGAAAGACUACCCUCCAGCAGGAGAGUUGUCUCAGUGGGAAGGUUUUCUCUAGGCCAGGUUGUUCAGUCAAGAACCUUAUCACAGGCCUCCUACCAAAAAAGGCCCCGAAACCUUGACUUUUCACGCUCUGCUCUUUCCCCUCCUCCGUUCUGCUCCUAUUGCCUCUUCCCUUAGGAGUGUGUCCUCUGUCUUUUCCUCUACCCGUGAAUUUCAUUUGUGCCCCGCCCCCGAGGUGGCCUCUGGUUGUCUUCAUGUUGCCAGGUGCAGAGAAGACCAGAGUCCUAGACGCUUGGCCCUUUGCCUUGCUUGGAAUAGCCAGGGAAAGGUUAAGGCGUCGGAUGGCUUCCCUGCGGUGCUGGGGACGCGUGGAGGGUGGGCACACAUAGGCUGGAGGCCAGCGAGGCAGGAGCUACCUAAAGUCUCCCGCCGCAUCACUGGGCUACCCUCCUAUCCUCUGGUGGCGAGGGUCUCAGCCUUUAAGCAGACGAUCUCUAAG